rnacentral:rRNA from 1 species
UACGGGGGGGGCAAGCGUUGUUCGGAAUUACUGGGCGUAAAGGGUUCGUAGGUGGCUUGUUAAGUCAGACGUGAAAUCCCUCGGCUCAACCGGGGAACUGCGUCUGAGACUGAUGAGCUCGAGUGCAGGAGAGGAACGCGGAAUUCCAGGUGUAGCGGUGAAAUGCGUAGAUAUCUGGAGGAACACCGGUGGCGAAGGUGGCGUUCUGGACUGCAACUGACACUGAGGAACGAAAGCCAGGGGAGCAAACGGG